rnacentral:rRNA from 1 species
UACGUAGGGUGCAAGCGUUGUCCGGAAUUAUUGGGCGUAAAGAGCGUGUAGGCGGCCAUGUAGGUCCGUUGUGAAAACUCGAGGCUCAACCUCGAGACGCCGAUGGAAACCAUGUGGCUAGAGUCCGGAAGAGGAGAGUGGAAUUCCUGGUGUAGCGGUGAAAUGCGCAGAUAUCAGGAAGAACACCCGUGGCUAAGGCGGCUCUCUAGUACGGUACUGACGCUGAGACGCGAAAGCGUGGGGAGCAAACAGG